rnacentral:rRNA from 1 species
UACAGAGGGGGCAAGCGUUGUUCGGAAUUACUGGGCGUAAAGGGCGCGUAGGCGGCCUUCUAAGUCGAACGUGAAAUCCCUGGGCUCAACCCAGGAACUGCGUCCGAUACUGGAAGGCUUGAAUCCGGGAGAGGGAUGCGGAAUUCCAGGUGUAGCGGUGAAAUGCGUAGAUAUUCGGAGGAACACCAGUGGCGAAGGCGGCUCACUGGUCCAUUACUGACGCUGAGGUGCGAAAGCGUGGGGAGCAAACAGG